AUGCACAUCUUACUCCAGCAGCAACAUCUUCUUCGGCGACAUGCUCAGAUUCUGCAGCUUCCUAUUGUCCAUUUUUGUCCUCAGUCAUUCAUCAUCUCAAAUGGCUUUUGGACAGAACCUCCGCAAUCCGCAUCGCCGACGAGGAGGACGACGAUGUUGACAACCAGAUCAUGGACUUUGCAGUUGCCGACUGCGUGGCCCGCACGCCUUCCAUCGAGGCCGGGGAGGCAUUGGGUAGUAAGGGCCAAGGAUAAGCGUUGCACAGCGGCGGACGACGUCGCCCAGGCGCCAGGCCAACACAUCUCCAGGAUGGGCCUUAAGGUCGUGCCAAUGAUAGCACCCUUCUCCAAUCUCUGUGCAGUCAACAUCUCCGGCAACUUCAUGGGUAAGCACUGCCGCUGCCGGUCAGUAAGAUCGACAGAACAUUGUCAAUUGCUACUGCACCAAACAAUAGUACUUUCAGUAUCCCUUGACGGCUUCUCCAAACAAGGUAGUAAGAUAUGA
rnacentral:rRNA from 1 species